rnacentral:rRNA from 1 species
UACGUAGGGGGCUAGCGUUGUCCGGAAUCAUUGGGCGUAAAGAGCGUGUAGGCGGUCCGGUAAGUCCGCUGUGAAAGUCGGGGGCUCAACCCUCGAAUGCCGGUGGAUACUGUCGGGCUAGAGUGCGGAAGAGGCGAGUGGAAUUCCUGGUGUAGCGGUGAAAUGCGCAGAUAUCAGGAGGAACACCGGUGGCGAAGGCGGCAUCCUGGACCAAUUCUGACACUGAGGAGCGAAAGCCAGGGGAGCAAACAGG